AAGUCGUAACAAGGUUUCCGUAGGUGAACCUGCGGAAGGAUCAUUAGAAUAUUCAGGAAUUUAUUUUCCUAAUAAUACUUUAUUCAAAAAUUUUCAAUCUACAAAUUUUUUUUUUUUUUUAAGAUAUUAAAGAUAACUUUCAACAACGGAUCUCUUGGCUCUU
rnacentral:misc_RNA from 1 species